rnacentral:misc_RNA from 1 species
UUUCCGUAGGUGAACCUGCGGAAGGAUCAUUAAUGUGUUUGGGCCUCACGGCUCUUCAUUCCGACGCUGUGCGCCUUCGGGCUGCACGCUGAGGGAGCAUAUAUCCACCCCUGUGCACACACACGGUGGCGAGCUGGGUAACGGCUCGCCGCUGAUCUUUACACACGUCUAAAAGUCAUUGUAUGUUUAUUUGAGAUAAAAACACAACUUUCAGCAACGGAUCUCUUGGCUCUCGCAUCGUGAAGAACGCAGC